rnacentral:rRNA from 1 species
GGAUUAGAUACCCUGGUAGUCCACGCCGUAAACGAUGAAAACUAGCUGUUCGGUCGCGUCGUCGACUUAGUAGCGAAGCUAACGCGUUAAGUUUUCCGCCUGGGGAGUACGGCCGCAAGGCUAAAACUUAAAGGAAUUGACGGGGGCCCGCACAAGCGGUGGAGCAUGUGGUUUAAUUCGAUGCAACGCGAAGAACCUUACCUACCCUUGACAUCCUGCGAAGGCGCUAGAGAUAGCGCUGUGCCUUCGGGAAUGCAGUGACAGGUGCUGCAUGGCUGUCGUCAGCUCGUGCCG